rnacentral:lncRNA from 1 species
CGGUUCCGACUGUGUCAUCAUGUCCUACGAUGUUGUUGUAUGUACUCUCUUUUGUCAGAAACUAUAUUUAAUUCUUUUUUUUUUUUAAUAUGAAUAGUGUUAAUUUCGUGAGUCAACAAUAAUUGGUAAAGGGGAAAAUGGGUGGGUCCAAAUUAAUCCAGUGUCUUAAUUAACUUCUAAUCAUUCAAUGUAUUGUCGAUUUAGAAAGGGAAACUUCAGAAAAUAAAAACAUUAUUCAAGAUUUUUAAAUAGACCGACAAAUGUAAACGAUUUUGA